AUUGAACGCUGGCGGCAGGCCUUACACAUGCAAGUCGAACGGCAGCACGGGGCAACCUGGUGGCGAGUGGCGAACGGGUGAGGAAUGCAUCGGAACGUACCUUUCAGUGGGGGAUAACGUAGCGAAACUUACGCUAAUACCGCAAAUUCUGUGAGCAGGAAAGCAGGGGAUCGCAAGACUCUGCGCUAAUUGAUCGGCCGAUGUCAGAUUAGCUAGUUGGUGAGGUAAAGGCUCACCAAGGCGACGAUCUGUAGCGGGUCUGAGAGGAUGAUCCGCCACACUGGAACUGAGACACGGUCCAGACUCCUACGGGAGGCAGCAGUGGGGAAUUUUGGACAAUGGGGGCAACCCUGAUCCAGCCAUGCCGCGUGAGUGAAGAAGGCCUUCGGGUUGUAAAGCUCUUUCGGCCGGGAAGAAAUCGCACGGGCUAAUACCCUGUGUGGAUGACGGUACCGGAAUAAGAAGCACCGGCUAACUACGUGCCAGCCGCCGCCGUAAAAC
rnacentral:rRNA from 1 species